UACGUAGGGCGCAAGCGUUGUCCGGAAUUAUUGGGCGUAAAGAGCUCGUAGGCGGUUUGUCGCGUCUGUCGUGAAAGCCCACGGCUUAACCGUGGGUCUGCGGUGGAUACGGGCAGACUAGAGGUAGGUAGGGGAGAAUGGAAUUCCCGGUGUAGCGGUGAAAUGCGCAGAUAUCGGGAGGAACACCGGUGGCGAAGGCGGUUCUCUGGGCCUGUACUGACGCUGAGGAGCGAAAGCGUGGGGAGCGAACAGG
rnacentral:rRNA from 1 species